AUAAAAAAGCAUUUGAAAUAAUAGUGGUUGAAAUUGCCCCAAAUUUAUUUAAAUAGCAUUAACUUUUUUUAUGUUUGCAAAUUAAGGUCAACUGAGAUUCCAAACUAGUUCUUCAAAUUCAUAAACCUCUGCUGAUAUAGCUUAACCUCCUCCUUACUUAGCACGAGUUUAUCCAAAAUUCUCUUUGUUGGUUGUGCCCUAAUCCCCCAGGGCCAUGAACUUUGGCCUUACCGAGCAGGAGGAUGUUUGAUUAAUAUUGGUUUUUCCCUU
rnacentral:lncRNA from 1 species